UACGUAGUGUGCAGGCGUUAAUCGGAAUUACUGGGCGUAAAGCGUGCGCAGGCGGUUUCUUAAGUCAGAUGUGAAAGCCCCGGGCUUAACCUGGGAACUGCGUUUGAAACUGGGAGACUUGAGUGUGGCAGAGGGGGGUGGAAUUCCACGUGUAGCAGUGAAAUGCGUAGAUAUGUGGAGGAACACCGAUGGCGAAGGCAGCCCCCUGGGUUAACACUGACGCUCAUGCACGAAAGCGUGGGGAGCAAACAGG
rnacentral:rRNA from 1 species